rnacentral:lncRNA from 1 species
CUCAACAGCGCCCCGCCCUCCGGGGAGGAGGCGGCACGACCCGGCCUGCGUGGACGCCGCCCCUCGGCUCUGCGCCCGUGUCCCGGUCUGCGACACCGGGCGACCCCAGACCGCAGGGGGAUCGGGGAAUCCCGCACGGCGCGUGGGGAGCGCCCACGGUCCCCGAGGGGUCUCCUUCCCCCCGAGCCUCGGGAGCGACCCCGGGCCUGGGGGCCGCAUCGCCCCUCCGCCCGGACGGUGCCCAAGCUGAGACCGGCCUCCCUGCGCCGCCCCAGCCGGCCCGGGAACGGGGCGCACCCACCGUGUGAAGCCCCCGCCCAUGGGGAAACCCCGCGCCCCCGCCAGGGCGGACCGAGGGCCCGGGCGCUGCUGCCGCCGCCGCUGGUGCUGCUGCUCGCGGCCGCGCGGUCGGGACGCGCAGAUUUACCGGAAGCUUUAGUUUUGUCUUUUACUAUUCCUGCGUAAGCUGGAUGGGAAGAAACGACUCCUGUCUUAUGCACAUAUCAAGCCUUCAACCAACAGAUGUGAAUUUGCUUGCUCUAUUUUUAAUCAAAGAGAGAAAUAAUUGGGUUGGGAG